UGCAAGUCGAGCGGUAGCACAGAGAGCUUGCUCUCGGGUGACGAGCGGCGGACGGGUGAGUAAUGUCUGGGAAACUGCCUGAUGGAGGGGGAUAACUACUGGAAACGGUAGCUAAUACCGCAUAACGUCGCAAGACCAAAGUGGGGGACCUUCGGGCCUCAUGCCAUCAGAUGUGCCCAGAUGGGAUUAGCUGGUAGGUGGGGUAACGGCUCACCUAGGCGACGAUCCCUAGCUGGUCUGAGAGGAUGACCAGCCACACUGGAACUGAGACACGGUCCAGACUCCUACGGGAGGCAGCAGUGGGGAAUAUUGCACAAUGGGCGCAAGCCUGAUGCAGCCAUGCCGCGUGUGUGAAGAAGGCCUUCGGGUUGUAAAGCACUUUCAGCGGGGAGGAAGGCGGUGAGGUUAAUAACCUUGUCGAUUGACGUUACCCGCAGAAGAAGCACCGGCUAACUCCGUGCCAGCAGCCGCGGUAAUACGGAGGGUGCAAGCGUUAAUCGGAAUUACUGGGCGUAAAGCGCACGCAGGCGGUCUGUCAAGUCGGAUGUGAAAUCCCCGGGCUCAACCUGGGAACUGCAUUCGAAACUGGCAGGCUAGAGUCUUGUAGAGGGGGGUAGAAUUCCAGGUGUAGCGGUGAAAUGCGUAGAGAUCUGGAGGAAUACCGGUGGCGAAGGCGGCCCCCUGGACAAAGACUGACGCUCAGGUGCGAAAGCGUGGGGAGCAAACAGGAUUAGAUACCCUGGUAGUCCACGCUGUAAACGAUGUCGAUUUGGAGGUUGUGCCCUUGAGGCGUGGCUUCCGGAGCUAACGCGUUAAAUCGACCGCCUGGGGAGUACGGCCGCAAGGUUAAAACUCAAAUGAAUUGACGGGGGCCCGCACAAGCGGUGGAGCAUGUGGUUUAAUUCGAUGCAACGCGAAGAACCUUACCUGGUCUUGACAUCCACAGAACUUUCCAGAGAUGGAUUGGUGCCUUCGGGAACUGUGAGACAGGUGCUGCAUGGCUGUCGUCAGCUCGUGUUGUGAAAUGUUGGGUUAAGUCCCGCAACGAGCGCAACCCUUAUCCUUUGUUGCCAGCGGUUAGGCCGGGAACUCAAAGGAGACUGCCAGUGAUAAACUGGAGGAAGGUGGGGAUGACGUCAAGUCAUCAUGGCCCUUACGACCAGGGCUACACACGUGCUACAAUGGCAUAUACAAAGAGAAGCGACCUCGCGAGAGCAAGCGGACCUCAUAAAGUAUGUCGUAGUCCGGAUUGGAGUCUGCAACUCGACUCCAUGAAGUCGGAAUCGCUAGUAAUCGUAGAUCAGAAUGCUACGGUGAAUACGUUCCCGGGCCUUGUACACACCGCCCGUCACACCAUGGGAGUGGGUUGCAAAAGAAGUAGGUAGCUUAACCUUCGGGAGGGCGCUUACCA
rnacentral:rRNA from 1 species